GGAGCGUUGCCCGAGCGGUUUCACGGCGCACGUUGGAAACGUGAUGGUCGCAGCAUUGCGGCACCUGAGUUCGAAUCUCAGACGCUCCGCCA
rnacentral:tRNA from 1 species